rnacentral:rRNA from 1 species
GAUGAACGCUGGUGGCGUGCCUAAUACAUGCAAGUCGAGCGAACGGACGAGAAGCUUGCUUCUCUGAUGUUAGCGGCGGACGGGUGAGUAACACGUGGAUAACCUACCUAUAAGACUGGGAUAACUUCGGGAAACCGGAGCUAAUACCGGAUAAUAUUUUGAACCGCAUGGUUCAAAAGUGAAAGACGAUCUUGCUGUCACUUAUAGAUGGAUCCGCGCUGCAUUAGCUAGUUGGUAAGGUAACGGCUUACCAAGGCAACGAUGCAUAGCCGACCUGAGAGGGUGAUCGGCCACACUGGAACUGAGACACGGUCCAGACUCCUACGGGAGGCAGCAGUAGGGAAUCUUCCGCAAUGGGCGAAAGCCUGACGGAGCAACGCCGCGUGAGUGAUGAAGGUCUUCGGAUCGUAAAACUCUGUUAUUAGGGAAGAACAUAUGUGUAAGUAACUGUGCACAUCUUGACGGUACCUAAUCAGAAAGCCACGGCUAACUACGUGCCAGCAGCCGCGGUAAUACGUAGGUGGCAAGCGUUAUCCGGAAUUAUUGGGCGUAAAGCGCGCGUAGGCGGUUUUUUAAGUCUGAUGUGAAAGCCCACGGCUCAACCGUGGAGGGUCAUUGGAAACUGGAAAACUUGAGUGCAGAAGAGGAAAGUGGAAUUCCAUGUGUAGCGGUGAAAUGCGCAGAGAUAUGGAGGAACACCAGUGGCGAAGGCGACUUUCUGGUCUGUAACUGACGCUGAUGUGCGAAAGCGUGGGGAUCAAACAGGAUUAGAUACCCUGGUAGUCCACGCCGUAAACGAUGAGUGCUAAGUGUUAGGGGGUUUCCGCCCCUUAGUGCUGCAGCUAACGCAUUAAGCACUCCGCCUGGGGAGUACGACCGCAAGGUUGAAACUCAAAGGAAUUGACGGGGACCCGCACAAGCGGUGGAGCAUGUGGUUUAAUUCGAAGCAACGCGAAGAACCUUACCAAAUCUUGACAUCCUUUGACAACUCUAGAGAUAGAGCCUUCCCCUUCGGGGGACAAAGUGACAGGUGGUGCAUGGUUGUCGUCAGCUCGUGUCGUGAGAUGUUGGGUUAAGUCCCGCAACGAGCGCAACCCUUAAGCUUAGUUGCCAUCAUUAAGUUGGGCACUCUAAGUUGACUGCCGGUGACAAACCGGAGGAAGGUGGGGAUGACGUCAAAUCAUCAUGCCCCUUAUGAUUUGGGCUACACACGUGCUACAAUGGACAAUACAGAGGGCAGCGAAACCGCGAGGUCAAGCAAAUCCCAUAAAGUUGUUCUCAGUUCGGAUUGUAGUCUGCAACUCGACUACAUGAAGCUGGAAUCGCUAGUAAUCGUAGAUCAGCAUGCUACGGUGAAUACGUUCCCGGGUCU